AAGUUUCAAGACAUAGUGUUUGUCACCGUGAAGCAGAACAGAGCGCCAGGAAGCUCAUGGCUACUUCAGCGCUGACAACACUCAGCUGGGCUCGAACCAGGCCAGCGCCUCCUCCCAGCUCAUCUACCCAUGGAUGCCUGUUCCUAGAGUUAGUUCUCAACUCUUCUCCAACAGAGGGCUUGUCUCAGGCUCUGAGAGAGGCGUGGGGGCCAGGGAGGAAGACCUAGAACAGACCCCUGCCACCCAGGCCGCAGCCACACCCCUCGGGGAAGGCAGAGGGACCACGGAGGCGACAGGCCUUUCCCCGACGUCCCCCUCCUAUAAGGAUGCUUCAUGACCCCUCCUCCAGAGAGGAGCAAGGGGACGUGGAGCAGCUGGCAGGGCUGGUCACACACACCCAGCAGAGGCAAGGUUUCCUGGCUGGGGAGCAGCUGAAACCUUUUACUGAAACUGCUUGACACCUGAGCCACACUUGACGACAAUGACACGUCCCCGCAGAGGGCGAGGGAGAUUAAAUGAGAUAAUGUGCCCAGGCAGAAACCUCUCUCGCCAGCAGCUUUCCCACUCUGUUCUGGGCUGCACUUCCCUCCCCGGACCCUGUGGGGGCAGGUGGGGGGAGCAGGUGUGACUCGGCAGGUGGCUGGAGCUUCCCUGCUCCAAUCUUUCCGCACAACUGCCUGUCAUUUCCUCCAGAAGGUGCCUCGGAGCAGAGGGCCCCGGGCUUGAGGCCCAACAGGAGAGCGGAGGAGACCGGGAAUGAGGAAAACAAGGGCUUUUCUUGACCCUCAAUAAAUGGCUAUUUGGAGUUCCCGUCAGGGCUCAGUGGUAACGAGCCUGAGUAGUAUCUAUCCAUGAGGACACAGGUUCAAUUCCUGGCCUCGCUCAGUAGGCCAGGGAUCGAACCCACAACCUCACGGAUAGGAGUCAGGUUUGUUACCACUGAGCCACAAUGGGACCUCCCGACAAUAGCAUUUUAAAUACCACAGAGACAGUCUGGAAAUUUGCCCUCCCAAAGUGACGGAAGCUCAGAUGCCCACCUGCGGACAGAAGGUUCCAGAUCUGCCACUGAGCACACACCAGGGCAGUACCCCCUCCAUCUAAACCAGACUACACGUCUGCUUCCCACUUACAAAGACAACGUCACCCACAUGGAAAACAAUUUGCUGCUGUGCCCUGGUAGCUGUCCCUCACCUUAGCUUUCCCAGAAAAUAAUCUCCAAAUGACUUGAAAAGAGGUCCUGGUACUGGGGUCUCUAAACACCCUGAACCCCAUCAGCAGCUCUGGGAGACAGCGCUGAGAGUGGAGAGAGUCACGUGACUUCUCCCUGACUCCCCCUCCCCCAUGACCCCAUUAUUAUUAGUAUUAAUAAAUGGCAACAAUAAUGCCUUCUGCCCGGGUCUGGGGGUCUGAUCCACGGCGGCUAUUAUACUGGAGGAUUUUGCGAGCUGUCCUCUUAUAUUCCUAUUAACUGGCCAAGGAGCACUGGGACCUAGGCCUUCGUUUUAGGAACUGGUCUGUUUUCUCGAGUGCCAUGCAGAAAGGGAGCUCAACGUUGGUUUUCUUGCUUUCCCUGGAAACAGCCGAGCACUUGGUUUCUUAGCAGAAAAGAAAGGAAAGAAUUCCUUUUCCAGUAGAAGUGCCAUAACCACAUCACAGAAAAGGUAUAAACCAGAGAAGGGAAAAGAAAGACAUCCAUAUUCUGGUCCCCUGGCCACAACUCUGACAUGAUUUCGGGGUGUAUUUCCCUCUCACCUUUUCCCCAAUAAACAACUGCCUUUGCUCAGCUUCACCCAGCCUCCCUGGCCUUCCCCUUAGCAGCUACAGCAGAAAUGAUUCAGGUCUUUGGUUAUGGUCAGAGGCUUUGGGUAUCUCCAAUUUAUUUUGCUAUUGCCAAAAAAGCUGAGCUGACCACAUCCGUACAACAUUUUGUCCGGAUUUUCUAUUGUUUCCCUGAGAGAGCGUUCCCAAAGUGGGGUCACUGGGUCAAAGCUUACAAAGAUCUGCAUGGCUCUUGACAAAAAUUGCCAUGAUUGCCCAGAAGGGUUGAUCAAGGACCCAGCUGGCCACCAGCAAGAAAACUCGGGUGCUUUCCGGGGAUGACUGGACUCCCAGGCACCCAGGGGGGUGGGGGGAACCAGGGCACCCGCUGGGUUUUCUCUGGAGCGAGCACCUAUGGAACAUUCUGGUCUCUGCACACCAGCAGGUGUCUCUCAGUUGCCCUUCAACCUUCCCUGUCGGAGUGGCUGCUCCAUAACAGGUAGGAGAACAAGUUCCAAGGUGAAAUCAAACACCUUCCCUCUUGCCCCAUGUAACAUGACCGGUCAAAAACAAAAGAUCAGGUGCCUUUUCUUUGGGUGUUAACUACCCCAGGUCCUGAGACAAAGGUCAGUUUAGCUGGAGAGAAGCACUUUCCCACGACGUUCCCAGCCAUGAUUCUGGGGGUGGGGGGUCCCUGGGGGAAGGGGCUGGAGGACCGUCCAAAGUCACACCUCUGGUUCUACUCUGCAUUUGCCUCCAAGAGGGCGAGGGCCAGGGCACAGUCACAAGGAUGCAAAUUCGUUUUUCUACACUUCCCCUGCCUUUCGCCGCUGAAACUUUGAGAAACAAGGCUUGAGAAACAGACAGUUCCCGGGGGGGGGGGGGGGGCAGGGUCCUCUCCAGAGGCAGGAGUCCCCCAGGGGCCCAGGAGGCCCUCUCAAAUCUCCUCUGUGCUGGGGCACCCAACCCCAGAUGGGAGAUGGGCAGAAACAAGGACAGUCGUAAAAGUCUUCAAUUUAGGAGCUGCUGUGAUCAAAGAGAUGGCUUUUAUUCAAAAAAACAGUAGGGAGUUUCCAUCAUGGCUCAGUGGUAAGGAACCCACUGAGGGGCCCAUGAGGAACUGGGUUCGAGCCCUGGCCUCACUCAGUGGGUUAGGGAUCCGGCAUUGCCCCAAGCUGUGGUGUGGGUCCAGACAGGGCUCAGAUCCUGUGUUGCUGCGGCUGUGGUGUAGGCCAGCAGCUGCAGCUCUGAUUCGACCCCUAGCCUGGGAACUUCUAUAUGCCGCGGGUGAGGCCUUAAAAAGACCAAAAAAAAAAAGAAAAGAGUCAGGCCUCACUAGGCCAAGAGAGGCUGUGCCUUCCAGCCCUCUGGGUCUCUCACAAGGAGCUGGAACCCCCAAAACUCUCUCCAGAGUUGGUCACACUCAAGCAGGAAUGACUAGCCAGACAUAUGGAAUAUAUGGAAUG
rnacentral:lncRNA from 1 species